CAGGGUACAUUUAGCAGACU
rnacentral:miRNA from 1 species